UUUUUUUUUUUGCAAACUGCAGCUGGACAAGCAUCCUAAUGGCCUUCAUUUGCGACAACUCAGUGGUCAUGCCUCUCCCAGUCAUGGAAGUUCUGCUCUCAUGUCACCAUGACACAGAACGCGGCCCAAGUGAGGCUAUCUCUACAGCGUGGUUUUUUUUUGUUUGUUUAUUUUUUUUAAGCAGCUCCUCCAGUCAAAAAUGGAGAGGCAAAGACAAAACUGAAAUGUUCGUAAGAAGGUGUUCUUUGGUAUAAGAUGGUCACCCUUAGGGACAGAGCAACCUUCUUAGGAUGAUGUGUUCUUCUUGGCUCUUGAGGUGUUCUAGGUGAAGGUCGUUAAAACAUGGGCUGAGGCCCCAUAGCCACGGUGGUGAAAGGCAUCCAAAAGGCAAGCACUUCUGUUGAUCCCUCGGUGGUGAGACCAGAAAGAGGAAAACCAGCCUUGUCCCUUUAAGAAAAUGACCAAGUGGGAGGAUGGUGCCUGGUAGGCCACAGAGCCUCUUGCACCUUCUUUGUUGAGUGAUCAAAGCAACCCACCCAAGGCUAGAAACAUUAACAAAGUGGUUUUUUUGUUUUUGUCGUUGAUGUCUACGGAGGAGCAGGUGGGGUAUGAUUUUUAAAAUGGACUUCAUUAUAUAAAUGGUCCUGUUUCAAAUGACCAUAGG